GACGAACGCUGGCGGCGUGCCUAAUACAUGCAAGUUGAGCGCUGAAGGUUGGUACUUGUACCAACUGGAUGAGCAGCGAACGGGUGAGUAACGCGUGGGGAAUCUGCCUUUGAGCGGGGGACAACAUUUGGAAACGAAUGCCAAUACCGCAUAAAAACUUUAAACACAAGUUUUAAGUUUGAAAGAUGCAAUUGCAUCACUCAAAGAUGAUCCCGCGUUGUAUUAGCUAGUUGGUGAGGUAAAGGCUCACCAAGGCGAUGAUACAUAGCCGACCUGAGAGGGUGAUCGGCCACAUUGGGGCUGAGACACGGCCCAAACUCCUACGGGAGGCAGCAGUAGGGAAUCUUCGGCAAUGGACGAAAGUCUGACCGAGCAACGCCGCGUGAGUGAAGAAGGUUUUCGGAUCGUAAAACUCUGUUGGUAGAGAAGAACGUUGGUGAGAGUGGAAAGCUCAUCAAGUGACGGUAACUACCCAGAAAGGGACGGCUAACUACGUG
rnacentral:rRNA from 1 species